AUUUUUAUAGAGCUAUUAUUCUCAGGAUAGCUCUCGUGACCAGGCAGAGGAAAUCCAACUGCUCCUUUAGGAGAUUUUGCUGAAGGAAUUGAAACUCUAGAUGCAUUAUUCAAAUAAAAAGCUGCCUGCUCCGGAAGAAGCUGAGUCUCUAAGGCGCCAAACCCUCCUUCAGAAUCAAGAAUAUUGAUCAAGCCCUCCAAUCCUCCCAUGAUAGAUUCAAUAAGAGAUUCAACAUAUAGGACUGCAUCUCGCCCAAUUUUGGUAACCUGCUUGCAGUAACAUAUUCAGUAAAUUUCACAAGGCUUCCACUUCUAUUGUUUUUCCUUCUAAUGAUGAGACUUGUGGGAUGUAUGUGAUUUGGAAGGAAGGGAGGGAGGUAGCUAGGGUAAGGGGGAUUUUAUGUUCCUUCAGGAGAUACAUUUGAUACCUGUGCUAUUCAACAAUAAAGUUCAUAUAACCAAUAACUUGAACAAAGCAACAAUCAUUCUCCCAAAAGCUCAUUUCAGUAUCUCCACAAGUCAAAGAUUUAUUUUACAAUAAAAUCAGAACUCCAGUAACAUUAAAUAUGAGGGGUAUAUCAAUUUCCUCCAAAUCAUAAUAAAUGGAAAGUUUUGACCUGGACACUGAUGGAAGUUGGAAGAAACCAUUCAUUUGCCUGCAUACUCAUUUUCAAGUAGAUUAUUAAUUUUAAAAAAAAAAUGCAUCACAUCCUUUUCUCUUUAAGAAAGAACUAUAAAAAGAAAAACAAAUUAGUAACUAAUGAUAUAUGCUCAUUGUACUCAUGAUUGGCCACUUUACACAUAAUAACAAUUUAUUCACAAAUACUUCAUUUAGUUCCACUUGAAUCAAAAUACUUUGGAAUCCAGUGAAAGACCCACCAGAAAGCUGACAUAAAUGCAGGAUUUGAGGAAAAAGGGUAGAGUGAAAUUUAAGAGUCAAGAAAUUGGAGUUUGUGCUUAGACACUGACUAGGAUGAAAACAAAAAAAGUGAUGAAGUGGUAGCCAUAUCAGCUUUUCGACAAGCCUUUCACCAGAUUCUGGCAACAAUGACAUUAUCUCAAUUGAGACUAAAUUAAAACUUGUUAUGCAAAUAGAAGAUUUGAGAACAAAUUGGAAAUUGAGUUCAAGCAUUCUUAAAUAUGUGACAGACCUUAUCUUCAUUUUAUAGCAUUCAUCAACGAACUGCUAGCAUGUUAAGGCAUAAAGUCACUCCUGAAUCAUUCGAUACUCGCUUAAAGAUCAAAAUUGAGGGAUUCAGAAAUGAAGGGCAAGCAGAGCAGACAUAUGGCUAUUCUCUAUGACCUUUUACGAAAAGUUGGGUAGUGCUAGAGGUUGAUGAUGAAGAUUCUUAUCGAUGCCACUUUAGGGAUGCGAAGUUUGAAAUAGUACUAUAAAUAUAAAGUUCUCAAGGUGAAUGAGAAGUACAAUUAAAGGUGGUCUGGGGUACAUGAAACUUAAGUUGCCUUUUUAUUUGCACUACCGCAACAAAUGGUUCUUAUGAGUUACAAUUGAUCAUGUGUUUAAAACAGCUUAGCACUGAAAGGUGAUAUAUUUGAAAGAGAAGAACAAAAACAUUUAUCUUUAUUUAGUUCACCAUCCAGCACUCAGAAAAUUGUUUUAUUUAGUUCACCAUCCAGCACUCAGAAAAUUGU
rnacentral:misc_RNA from 1 species